UUGCUGCCCUGGUCUGUUGCGAGCAUGUCAAGGAGAUUUCUCACUUCCUCACAGGACGUGUGGGAUCAUCUCCCAGAUGAACUACCAGUUCCUAAGUAUUUGUCUGAAGCACUGGCUAGAACUUCCAUCCCUGUGGUGAAUAAGAGUGAUGAAAGUGGACACCAUCGUAUUAUUGAAUUGAAGGGAUUCAAACCUCUUCUGUGAUAAUCAUAGAACUGUAGCAUCAGAAGGCAAUUCCCUAAGUGUGGUCUGCCCACAUCCCUGGUGGUAAGCCAAAUGAUCGUAAGUGGUAGAGCGGCAAUUACUUUUAAAAAAUUUGACAGUCAUAUAUCUAUUUCAAUGUAUAGCAAAUAUAGAAUUGGAACAUCAAA
rnacentral:lncRNA from 10 species